rnacentral:rRNA from 1 species
GACGAACGCUGGCGGCGUGCUUAACACAUGCAAGUCGAACGAGGGAAUUGAAAGCUUGCUUUUGAAACCCGAGUGGCAAACGGGUGAGUAACGCGUAGGCAACCUGCCGUUGAGAUGGGGACAACAUCCCGAAAGGGGUGCUAAUACCGAAUGUUGUGAGAGCUUCGCAUGGAGCUUUCACUAAAGAUGACCUCUCCUUGGAAGUUAUCGCUCAACGAUGGGCCUGCGUCUGAUUAGCUAGUUGGUGGGGCAACGGCCUACCAAGGCGACGAUCAGUAGCCGGUCUGAGAGGAUGAACGGCCACAUUGGAACUGAGACACGGUCCAGACUCCUACGGGAGGCAGCAGUGGGGAAUCUUCCGCAAUGGGCGAAAGCCUGACCCAGCAAUGCCGCGUGAAGGA